UGGGUGAAUUCUGUCCCGAAC
rnacentral:piRNA from 1 species